rnacentral:rRNA from 1 species
UUCCGUAGGUGAACCUGCGGAAGGAUCAUUAUC